rnacentral:rRNA from 1 species
UACGGAGGGUGCGAGCGUUAUUCGGAAUUACUGGGCGUAAAGCGCGCGUAGGCGGGGAAGCAAGUCUGAUGUGAAAGCCCUGGGCUUAACCUGGGAAGUGCGUUGGAAACUGUUUUUCUUGAGUACUGGAGAGGAAGGGAGAAUUCCCGGUGUAGAGGUGAAAUUCGUAGAGAUCGGGAGGAACACCAGUGGCGAAGGCGCCCUUCUGGACGGUUACUGACGCUGAGACGCGAAAGCGUGGGGAGCAAACAGG